GCAUAUCAAUAAGCGGAGGAAAAGAAACCAACAGGGAUUGCCUCAGUAACGGCGAGUGAAGCGGCAACAGCUCAAAUUUGAAAUCUGGCCCCUAGGGCCCGAGUUGUAAUUUGUAGAGGAUGCUUUUGGUGCGGUGCCGCCCGAGUUCCCUGGAACGGGACGCCAUAGAGGGUGAGAGCCCCGUCUGGCUGGCCACCAAGCCUCUGUAAAGCUCCUUCGACGAGUCGAGUAGUUUGGGAAUGCUGCUCAAAAUGGGAGGUAUAUGUCUUCUAAAGCUAAAUACCGGCCAGAGACCGAUAGCGCACAAGUAGAGUGAUCGAAAGAUGAAAAGCACUUUGAAAAGAGGGUUAAACAGUACGUGAAAUUGUUGAAAGGGAAGCGCUCAUGACCAGACUUGGGCUUGGCGAAUCAUCCAGCGUUCUCGCUGGUGCACUUCGCCUCGUCCAGGCCAGCAUCAGUUCGCUGCGGGGGAUAAAAGUUUCGGGAACGUGGCUCCUCCGGGAGUGUUAUAGCCCGUUGCACAAUACCCUGCGGUGGACUGAGGUUCGCGCAUCUGCAAGGAUGCUGGCGUAAUGGUCAUCAGCGACCCGUCUUGAAACACGGACCAAGGAGUCGUCUUCGUAUGCGAGUGUUCGGGUGUCAAACCCCUACGCGUAAUGAAAGUGAACGCAGGUGAGAGCUUCGGCGCAUCAUCGACCGAUCCUGAUGUUCUCGGAUGGAUUUGAGUAAGAGCAUACGGGGCCGGACCCGAAAGAAGGUGAACUAUGCCUGUAUAGGGUGAAGCCAGAGGAAACUCUGGUGGAGGCUCGCAGCGGUUCUGACGUGCAAAUCGAUCGUCAAAUAUGGGCAUGGGGGGCGAAAGACUAAUCGAACCUUCUAGUAGCUGGUUUCCGCCGA
rnacentral:rRNA from 1 species